rnacentral:sRNA from 1 species
UUUUAGCCCCGGUAGUAGCGGCAUCCUUUGCUUUUUUUCUUUAAAAAAGCAAAGAUAUAGCGGUUGACGGGUUCUAUG